GAUGAAGAACGCAGCGAAAUGCGAUAAGUAAUGUGAAUUGCAGAAUCCAGUGAAUCAUCGAAUCUUUGAACGCACAUUGCGCCCGCCAGCAUUCUGGCGGGCAUGCCUGUUCGAGCGUCAUUUCAACCCUCGACCUCCCUUUGGGGAAGUCGGCGUUGGGGACCGGCAGCACACCGUCGGCCCUGAAAUGGAGUGGCGGCCCGUCCGCGGCGACCUCUGCGUAGUAAUCCAACUCGCACCGGAACCCCGACGCGGCCACGCCGUAAAACACCCAACUUCUGAACGUUGACCUCGAAUCAGGUAGGACUACCCGCUGAACUUAAGCAUAUCAAUAAGCGGAGGA
rnacentral:misc_RNA from 1 species